rnacentral:misc_RNA from 1 species
GAAUUACUGGGCGUAAAGCGCGCGCAGGCGGAGGCGAAAAGCCCCCUUUCGGGGGGGUCGGGAAGUCGGAGGUGAAAGCCCGGGGCUCAACCCUGGGACGCCCUCCGAAACUCCUCCUCUAGGGACCGGUAGAGGCCGGUGGAAUUCCCGGUGUAGCGGUGGAAUGCGUAGAGAUCGGGAAGAACACCCGUGGCGAAGGCGACCGGCUGGGCCGGCAGGCUCCUCUUCGGAGGAGCGUCCGACGCUCAUGCG